GACGAACGCUGGCGGCGUGCUUAACACAUGCAAGUCGAGCGGUAAGGCCUCUUCGGGGGUACACGAGCGGCGAACGGGUGCGUAACACGUGGGUGACCUGCCCUCAGCUCUGGGAUAAGCCUGGGAAACUGGGUCUAAUACCGGAUAUGACCUUUCCUCGCAUGGGGUUUGGUGGAAAGUUUUUUCGGCUGGGGAUGGGCCCGCGGCCUAUCAGCUUGUUGGUGGGGUGAUGGCCUACCAAGGCGACGACGGGUAGCCGGCCUGAGAGGGCGACCGGCCACACUGGGACUGAGACACGGCCCAGACUUCUACGGGAGGCAGCAGUGGGGAAUAGUGCGCAAUGGGCGGGAGCCUGACGGAGCGACGCCGCGUGGGGGAUGACGGCCUUCGGGUUGUAAACCUCUUUCGACCCCGACGAAUUUGGACGGUAGGGGUAGAAGAAGCACCGGCCAACUACGUG
rnacentral:rRNA from 1 species